rnacentral:rRNA from 1 species
UACGGGGGGGGCAAGCGUUGUUCGGAAUUACUGGGCGUAAAGGGCUCGUAGGCGGCCGACUAAGUCAGACGUGAAAUCCCUCGGCUUAACCGAGGAACUGCGUCUGAUACUGAUCGGCUUGAGUUCGGGAGAGGGAUGUGGAAUUCCAGGUGUAGCGGUGAAAUGCGUAGAUAUCUGGAGGAACACCGGUGGCGAAGGCGGCAUCCUGGACCGACACUGACGCUGAGGAGCGAAAGCCAGGGGAGCAAACGGG